UGAAGAGUUUGAUCAUGGCUCAGAUUGAACGCUGGCGGCAGGCCUAACACAUGCAAGUCGAACGGUAACAGGAAGCAGCUUGCUGCUUUGCUGACGAGUGGCGGACGGGUGAGUAAUGUCUGGGAAACUGCCUGAUGGAGGGGGAUAACUACUGGAAACGGUGGCUAAUACCGCAUAACGUCGCAAGACCAAAGAGGGGGACCUUCGGGCCUCUUGCCAUCAGAUGUGCCCAGAUGGGAUUAGCUUGUUGGUGAGGUAACGGCUCACCAAGGCGACGAUCCCUAGCUGGUCUGAGAGGAUGACCAGCCACACUGGAACUGAGACACGGUCCAGACUCCUACGGGAGGCAGCAGUGGGGAAUAUUGCACAAUGGGCGCAAGCCUGAUGCAGCCAUGCCGCGUGUAUGAAGAAGGCCUUCGGGUUGUAAAGUACUUUCAGCGGGGAGGAAGGUGUUGUGGUUAAUAACCGCAGCAAUUGACGUUACCC
rnacentral:rRNA from 1 species